UAUACAAUUAGGCAAGAGCUGAUGAUCCUGCGCCUAGAAUCAGACGUCCUUGACGCAAUAUAAUGUUUUAUGGAAAUGCAGGGACUGAGUGGUACAUUUGAAGGAAGGAAACAAAUGAAUCUCAAAGAAAAAAAAGUGAUACGUAGGGGUAGGCAAUUGGUUUUGUAGGAUAGAUGUUUCCUUUUGAUGCGGGUGGGGAGGGGUAGAGGUUCUCCCUCGUGUAGUGUGCUUGAGCUCCUCUUCUUUGCUUGCCCCCUAAUGAGGGUAUCUCCUUCCUUUAGAGAUUGGUGGUUUACCAAUAUACAGCUCCAGUGU
rnacentral:misc_RNA from 1 species